rnacentral:sRNA from 1 species
GGAGUAAACGGAGGCCUCCGGCAGACGCUGUGAAGAGAGGAGCCGCGGCGGUCAGUACCUUCGAGGAAAUGAAGGAACCAGAUGAUCAGGAUACUGAUGGGGAGAAAUCAGUUACAUCAAAGAGUGAUGGGAAGAAGUCUCUGAGGUCUUCUAAAUCAGAAUCAAGAUUACCUCAGCAAACCCCUGCCCCAGCUGUGGAAGAAGCAGAGGAGGAAGUUAAGAAGAAAAUAUCAGAGAGCUUCUUCUAUGAUUAUAUGGAGCUUGCUUCGAUGCCUUUUGUGACUCUGGAUUCAAACAUACCACUGGAUCUUCUCACACUUGUGUAUCCACCCUGGCUAAAUAUGUAUAAUUUUGGGAUUUUCAUUUCUUAGGUCAGAGGUCAGAAAACUAUAGCCCAGGGAGCCCAAAUGUGCCUUCCCACCUGUUUUGGUAAAUCAAGUUUUAUUGCAACACAGCCACAUCCA